UGUUAGGCAAGGGAAGACAAGUUGAUGUGCCUCACAACAACACUUACUGUACGUUGAUGGACAUGUAUCGAUACUACGUGCAUUUUACCCGUGGGCGGCUGGGAGACAGUGGCUCGCCUCGUGGCGGACCGUCAGCUCGAUCCUGAGAUCCAACUACGAGCUUUUUAACUGCAGCAACUUUAAGAUACGCUAUUGGAGCUGGAAUUACCGAAGACAGCCCAUCUGGAGGCCGUAAUUUCAGCUUGUGGAACUCUCCAGCUCUUGCGGAUCUACGAAACACAACUACACACGACAUGGAGGUCCAGUGGGAUCACUCUCCCGUGACGUUCACGUCAACGACCCAAAGAUGUCAACAGAGGACCCUGCUAUGCCCAGUCGACGCACACGCACGACUAACACUAUGUGCACGUGUGAUGUGAUGGAUCCCCUGGGGCGCUCGCUGAUCGACUCGCCUGCAGAGUUUGUUGCCGUAGGAACGGAGCAGGCACUGCUUGCAACCACCCAGGAAGAGCUGUCAAUCACGGCCCACCAAGUAGACAACUUAGACUUGAGAAUCUUUUAAAUGAUGUCUGCAGUCAGAAGCGCUUCAACUCUUUUAAAAUGUGAGAAGGGAAUUAAAGCUGAGUGUAGAGCUGCAGCUUGAAGACAAACUUGAAGGACAUCACUACAAUUCAAAGCAGACGUUGUUUCAUUACGUUGGCACGGGAGGAGGGGAAAAUUAGCCUUAUGGAAUUUCUAUAUGAUGAGCGCCAUCCUAAAUCAUCUUUACCUCUUUAAUGACACACUUAUGUAUGACAUCAGCACACACAAACACGCAAUAAAAGGGUGCAAACAAUUAGAGUGCUUUGAAAGUUGACUGCUGGAUUUUGACGCCUGCUGGGAUACUUGUUUAAGUGUCAGCAUGCAUAAAUGUCAACAACAUGCAGGGAAAAAACUAAGAAAAAUGUU